rnacentral:lncRNA from 1 species
AACACAUGCCCCCCAGUUUCGGAGUAUAAAACUAUUAAUGCUCCAAAAUUCUCUGCAGUAAUGAUGUCUUUUCCCGCAAUUAAUGCUCCUAAUCUGGUAACCGACAACCUCAAUCUGAACAACUCUGAUCCUAUUCCUCCGCAGAUUCCUCGAAAUCCCCAACUUCCUAAACGGGCAUUUUUCUCAGUCGUACAUCGGCAACAAUACCGUUACAAAGAUCUGCCGAUGUUCUGACCAGGAUAUUCGCAC